rnacentral:rRNA from 1 species
AUUGAACGCUGGCGGCAGGCCUAACACAUGCAAGUCGAGCGAGCGGCGCACGGGUGAGUAUUGUGUGUGAGAAUCACCGCUGGGGGGGGGUAAAUCCUGGAAACGCUAGCUAAUACCCCGUACCACCAGCGGUGCCCCGAGGGGAUUAGCUAGUAGGGGGGGUAACGGCUCACCUAGGCGACGAUCCCUAGCUGGUCUGAGAGGAUGACCAGCCACACUGGAACUGAGACACGGUCCAGACGCCUACGGGAGGCAGCAGUGGGGAAUAUUGCACAAUGGGCGCAAGCCUGAUGCAGCCAUGCCGCGUGUGUGAAGAAGGCCUUCGGGUUGUAAAGCACUUUCAGCGGGGAGGCGUUACCCGCAGAAGAAGCACCGGCUAACUCCGUGCCAGCAGCCGCGGUAAUUC